GCCAGAAGAGGAGUCGGUGGUUGCUCCCUAUAUACACUGUCUACUGGUUGCUAGUGCAGUCAAACAAGUGUGAGAACCUUUAUUUUUACAACAUGGA